CUAACAUGAACCCUGAUGGAAGAUGCUGAUAAGGCUGCUGGCAGGGGAACACCAUUUCAGAGCUUUCUUCCCAGGUACCUGGGGCCUUCUUCCCUGCAAAAAGACACCACCCUCAAACGCUGCCUUACUGACCUUGUGUCCUGACUCCUCGGGUCACCUCUCCCUCCCACCAUUCCUACAGCAACUGAGAUGCUGGAUGGGGAAAUUGAGCACAGCGACCAGUUUCUGCCUCUUUGGAAGGUUCCAGAAGGGUUAUCCAGGACAGUGCAACUGGAAGAACUCAGGGGAAUCAAGGCAAAAAGAAGGCAAGAAAGAAAUCAGAAGCAAUGAUGACCUGCUUUGAACUGGAAGGAAAAUGGCUGGGGGAGGAUUUGUACCAUCUAUGAGGUGCACAUCAUGGUAGAAAAAACACAGCUUUAAAACCAGACAGGCUGAGUUUGAACCUUGAACCUGCUUCUUACUAGCCAACAACCUUGAGCAAGACGCUCGCUGCGCCGCCGUGUCCACCUCUGUAAAAUGGGGAUAAUGAAAACAGCACCGCCCUCCUGGGGCUGUUGUGAAGACGCAGUAAGAAAACGCAUCGAAGUUCUUGGCACACAGCAGCUGCGCCUGAGCCCUAGUUCCUCCCUCAGAGAAAGGAAGGCUUCUUGCAGGAGAUGGGGUUUGUUCUGAGUGUUGAAGGAUGGAUAAUAAUAGUAAUCAUACUUCUAUUUUUGUUGACACCAGGCGCUAUGCUAAGCACUUUGAAUACAUUGUUUCAUUUAAUCCCCCAGCAACUCUAUGAGGCAGGUUUUUUUUUUUUCCCUGUCCCUGUUUCACGGAAUAAGCUGGUGAAGUUCAGAAAGGCUAGGCAAUUUACCCCAAGUCACACAGCCAAAUGGAGGAGAAAAUUCAGAACUCUUCUGCUAUCGCUUGGACUGGGGGUGGGACUGGGAGUGGAGGACACAGCAAAAGUGACAGCAGGCAAGACCAAGAGCAGGGCCUAAACCAGGCGUGAGCCAGGACCAGCAAGGGACUGGGUGUGGGUCUCAGGGAAAUUCUGAGGCCAUGGCAAGCCCGUCUCUCCUUAGACUCCGCCUUCCUGCUUCCUGCGAGCCCUCGGACUCUGGCCGGCCUUGCUGUUAAACCUCGGUGGGGAGGGGGAGAAGGGGGUUCACGUGUUCAUCUCUGCAGCAGUGGGACCCCCAGUGCUGCCCACCCCCUUCCCACACAGGUGCCCUGUAAUCCAGAUAAUCCCUGCAGCUCCGUCCUGUCCCUUGUAUGGCAAAAAUGACCUCCUUGGUUUCUUGCCGCCUAGUGUUAU
rnacentral:lncRNA from 10 species